AUUGAACGCUGGCGGCAGGCCUAACACAUGCAAGUCGAGCGAGCGGCGGACGGGUGAGUAAUAUAUGUGGACUUUGCGAUAGAGGGGGAGAUCUACUGUAAAAGCUGGCUAAUAUCGCAUACUAUCGGAUAACCCAUAUGGGAUUAGCGAGUAGGUGGGGUAAAGGCUCACCUAGGCGACGAUCUCUAGCUGGUCUGAGAGGAUGAUCAGCCACACUGGGAAUGAGAAACGGGCCCGACUCCUACGGAGGCAGCAGUGGGGAAAAUUGCACAAUGGGCGCAAGCCUGAUGCAGGCAAGCCGCGGUUAUGAAGGAGGCCUUAGGGUUGUAAAGUAAUUUCAGCGGGGAAGCGUUACCCGCAGAAGAAGGACCGGCUAACUCCCGUCCAACAACCGCGGUAAUUC
rnacentral:rRNA from 1 species